UACGAAGGGGGCUAGCGUUGCUCGGAAUUACUGGGCGUAAAGCGCACGUAGGCGGCUUUGCAAGUUAGAGGUGAAAGCCCGGGGCUCAACUCCGGAAUUGCCUUUAAAACUGCAUCGCUAGAAUUGUGGAGAGGUAAGUGGAAUUCCGAGUGUAGAGGUGAAAUUCGUAGAUAUUCGGAAGAACACCAGUGGCGAAGGCGACUUACUGGACACAUAUUGACGCUGAGGUGCGAAAGCGUGGGGAACAAACAGG
rnacentral:rRNA from 1 species